AGCACUAGCACCUCCUUUCCAGCACUUGGGCUUAGUGAAGCUGCACAGUGAGAUGUAGAUGUGACCACGCAGAAAGUGAAAAAGGAACUUGCCCCAGCAAAUGUUUCAGGCAAAUCUGAAGACUGUGUUGUACUGACAAAAGAACCCAUAAAAGCAAUACUGCAGACACAUAGCACAACCUACUAAAAGAAAAGCAAAACAGAGCAACCUCCGAAUUCCAAGUCUCUGCAGGAAAGACUGCUUGUGUGAAGCUGAAAAGGAGCCAGCAUAUACAGCAAAGAAGCUGUGAUUUCAUCUCACAGCAGAAUAGAAACUCCAAGGCUUCACUGCAGCAAUUAGUGCAGAUGCAGCAUCACUCUGACUGGGUCCGUAUCAAAUGCUGGCAGAGGAGUCCCCGGAAGGAGGGUGCCAAUGUCAUUCUGUGUCACUGCCCACUUGCUUUUUAGUUCCAGUUCUCUGUGGAUAUCAGCCACAUUACAGCCUCAGAUCAGUGACUUGAAGCAAUGCUCAAGACAUUUGGAAAAAGAGCAGAAAACAUAAGAAGACAAGUGUUGAAGGGAACUUACAUAAUGCUAUCAGACUGGUGCAGACUGAAGCACAGGCUGCUGCUAUUUGUGGGGAAAUGAGAGAAUCUGAAAUACACUUAUAGCGUGCUUUGUGCCUGAUUGUGUCUUCAGAGCUAGUGCCUGUCCAAGAAUGCUGAUUUGGAGAAAGUACCUCCUAAAGGAAGCUAGAAAAGCACAAAGACUGCGUGGUACCGUGCCUACUUCCCAGGCUGCAUUUGUUCCAAGGCAGUCAAUGCAAACCACAUAUGUAAUGCACGCUGGCUCUCUCUUGCACCCCUUAGCUUUCUCUGUAUUACCGCUCUUCUUGUCUAAUCCAUCCCCUAUGCUAGAGCUGAGGCUGGUAUAAGUACCAGUAAGGAACCAAAUGCCUCUAAAUAUCUUUACUCUGGGACUGCUGGGCUGAGGGGAAGCAGUUUGCCCCUGUUAGAACGGCCUUAGGAAAACACUCACAUUUACCUUGCAGCUCUUGUGAACACUGUGGCAGGCAGGGAACCGUCACUGAACCUUGCUGUGCUGGUAAUCCAGCUCCUAAUCUCCCCCAACACCAUGUCUGUGUGUCCUUCAUGGGAAGGACGCAGAGCUGCAAGACCCCCACGCUGGAGGCAUAUUUCCGAGGAGCUCUCUAAUUGCAUUAUGUCUACUUGUGCUGGCAGAUAAAGAGCACCCUGAAUGCUUCUUCCAGGAGAAAGUUGCACCUACCUGCUCUCAUUUUUUCACCAACUGACAAUGGCUGUAACUGCUGCUUCCCUGUAGCACUUUGCAGUGAUAUCUCAGUGGAGAGAACAGCUCCCAGUGUUGGCUGAACCACAUGAAGAGCAAUUAGCAGUAUUUCUGUGAAAUGUUUGUAAACACUGAGCAUCUGUCUACCUUUGCUGAAUUACCUUUCCUUUUCCAGCAAAGGUAAUUCACUAAGAAAUUCAUGGGCCUCUUAUUUACAAUUCGUCAUUUCACACUGCGGAUCAGAAAGUUUUGAUUACUCCACUGGGGACUGGAAACAAAACAAUUAGGCUGUGACUCAGAAAUCACAGGGAGAAAUACGGUCAGAGUCCUGUGCAACAGUAGAAAGGUUUUAAACAGAUUGUUUUGUUUAUAAUUAUGUACUGUUAAUAUAUCUGUAAAAAUCACAGUCAGUUUGCCAGAAAAUUAUUACAUUUAUCUGCUAAUUUAUUCAUAAUGCUGUGAUUAACAACUUUCUAUUGUUUAUCUGGCUUAUCUAUUUUCCUAAAAAAACCUCACCAAAAUUAAUCAAUAUAGAGCAGCAGCACUUUUUGUCGAAGACAACGUUUUGCAGUUGAAUCUCUCUAAUGCUACUAUUGACUAUACUGAACGGAAAUUUAGAAAAGCCCUGCUUUACAAAAGGUAUAUAGAUUCCUGCAACAAAAGCUUUAUGUUUUUGUUUUGAGGUCUGACCUGAAGUAACCACAGAGUUCUAGAAAUACUGGACAAAUUGCUAGAAAUGAUAAUAUGUAAUGUAAUCAGUAGGCUCAAGAUAUAAUGAAGAAAAAUCAGCAUACCUUUUGUGGAAAAAAUAAUGUCUCACAGAUCUUGUGGAGUUUUUUGGGGAGAAGAAAGGGGUCACUAGUCAAGUUUCACAGGGAUCUGUAUCGAGGCUUGUGUUGUUUGAUAUAUUCAUAAGGUAUCUGGUAAAGGAAGAGGAGUUUGAGGUGAGAGAAUUUGCUGAUGAUAAGUUAUUCUGGGUUGUACAGAUGAAAAUCAACUGUAAAGAGGAUUUUAAGAUACGAGUUAUUGGGUUAAAAAUGGCAGAAAACUUUUGAUGAAGUACUGAAUUACCUCCUACUACUCAUGAAAAAGAGAUCCAAGUUAUGAUACACAGUUUUAUAAAGUUAUCAGCCCAGUGCUCAGUGGUGGGGGAAGACAGCAAAUAGAACACUAGGAAUUUUUAGGGGAAGAACAGAGAAGAAACCGUAAUCAUACAACACAGGAAAUUCCUGGUGAACUCACAUCCUAAAUACUGUCUGCAGCUCCAGUUCUCUCCUGCCAAAAAAGAAUAAGAAAAGGUACAAAGAAGGGCAAGAAAGCUGAUAAACAGUUGGAGUAACUUUCAUACAAAGAAUAACUAAAUAGUCUAGGACUUUCCAGACUGGAACAGGAAGAGUAGAGGAGAGAUUUGACAAUGGAUCAUAAAAUCAUGAGCAUCAUAGAGAAAGGCACUAGAGAAUAAUUAUUUACUGUUUCACAAAGCAUAAGAGCUAGAGGAAACCAAGAGAAAUUGGCAGGUAACAGGUCCAAAACAAAUAAAAAAGGUGCUUUUUAUGCACAGAUGAGUAAUUGGAUUUUGGAAUGCUGUAUAACCUUGUGAAUGCCAAGGGUUUAAUGGGCUCAAACACCUACUGGACACAUUAAUGGAAGAAAAAUUAAUCAAAGUCUAUCAACGACAAAAAUACCGCAUCUGUCCCAGAAAGUUAUGGAACCACAGAUUGCGGUGAGCUGAAACACGUACUAAAUGUCGCUAUACACUUGUGCUCUUCAUGCAGUUUUGUCUAGGUGACCACCACUGUCCUCAGCUGGAGACAUGCUGCUGGGCUGAGUGGCUCUUUGCUGUGACCCAGCCUGGCCAUUUUUAAGACAUAAUUAGAAUUCAGCAACCAUGAAUGUAUUUGCACUGAAACAAAAAUGAAAGGUGUCCACCUUUCCAAAGAAAAAGCAGUGAUGGAAAGUUAGCUAACUGUCAUAAGAAUAAUGAGCAGUAUCAGACUGUUUUGGUAUUGUAUCCAGAUAAAAUGAGUAAAGUUUUUUUCCUGCAAAAGAGAAAAGGAGAGAGAUGCCAGGAGUGGAAAGAACUGGAUAAAAGGAAGCAACACAAAAGCUUCACUAAGCUUUAUCCAGAUAAAUACCCCCUAUCUACAGUCCAUGGUAUUUGGACCUGUAGUUUCCGAUCUACCACUCUGAUAAUCAGCUCAUUUAAAAGAUAGAUUGUUAUCCUGACAAAUACUUGGGGAUAACCUUUAUUAUGAUACAAAUGGAUCAGUAAGUUAUGGCAAAACAGGCAUAUUGUAGCCAGCCCAUAUUCAGGGGGCUCCUCAUGUCUUUGUGAAUUACCUAAUUUUGAUUUUGCUCUCCCAUUAUAAAAUACCCACUCAUCGUAAACUUUUCACUCCAAUUUUCAUGCGAGUAUUUUAGGAAGCACAGGGUAGAAUUCAGAAAUGGUUCAUAUGUGGUGUAAAUAAGAAUCUACUAGGACUUGUCCUAUGAAACAGUACUAAUAAGAAAUAAUAAAAGAAAAGACUUCCUUCUCUGAGUUAGCUAACUUCCUAGUAUCUACAUGGAUAGGUAAAGUUACCGUAAAUUGCAGAUUAGCUUUUCACAGUGGGUUAGGGCUUGAAGUAAGGUUCUAGUGAAGCUAAAGAAGUUUGUAUUUCCACCCGAGUUAGUAGUCCCAGCUACAAAGACAAACCUAAUAAGGACAUGUGAAAACUACAGUCUGACAUGCCUUUAUUGAGAUUCCACCUCAGUUUAACUGACUCAAGUCAAGAGCACAUUUUUUGCCGAUUUAUUUGCUGUAGAACAAGGGCUAGGCCUUAGACCUCAUUACAGAUACAUGACAGUCUGUAAUUGUAGGAGAUUAUGAUAUGAUAUAAUUCAUACAUUCAAGAACUGUAAGAAGGUGCAAACUGAAGCUCAUAGUGCUGUAUAAAUGUAUUUAUACUGUUACACUCUGCAUUUCUCAUUAGACUUCUCUGACUCUCUGGAGUGCGAGUUAGUCACUUCAGUCAUUUCUAUAGAAAUUGAUUUCGAGCAAGUUUUGUUACACCAUGCAAGCUCACUGCCCUAAAUUCUGGUUUAGUCUACACUGCAAAACUAGUGAUUUACGUGAACUUUAAACUGGAUGAAUUACGUCUAAAUGGGAAAGCAAAUGUUGGUCUAACAAGACCUACUGAUUCAAAACUGAUAAUUCUUUUAAGUCAUUUUGAAUUCUUUCAUAUAGAUAAGACCUUGGACAAAUUUAGGAAUCAUAUACUGUAUAUACAGCCAGGUUAGCUAGCUAGCUCCCUGCUCUUCUAUUCUGGAGACUGGACAUAGAACCAUUAAUAAACAUAUCCUUAUGUUAACCGCGUGCUGAUCAGGAACUGCUGAAAUGUAAAAGCAAGCAUCUCUGGGAACCAAGCCCUGCUACAGUAGGCAAGCCUAAACAAGGAUUACAAAGGCUGCUCAGGAUUAAACUCUAUUUUGAACUUUAUUUAAUUUUACUGUUGCACUCUGCCCAUUGAAUAGUAUUUCCUUUUUCUCCUCUUUGGUCUUUCUGUACCACUAUAGUCAAUUACUGAAACAUGAAGAUCUCAGAUAUCAAAUGUUGCCAGUCUGGAUUUGUGCGUCUUUGAAUUUGUUCAACAACUCUCUCCUCCAGCAUCAAUCUGUAAGUGCGUCUACUCACAGACUGUUUCUCCUCAUGAUAUAUACAGUGUACAUUAUCCACAUCUAAACUAGCAUGUUAUUUUAAUGGAUCCCUCAGACCAUUCAUUGAUUCCUCAAGUGCAAAACUAUUUUGAUAUUUUACUCACUCUUUCUGAUUUUUUACAGUAAUGUGGGGAAAAUGGAGUAUGUGGUUCUUUAGGAAAACAAACUCUUCUUCAUUCUCUUUUGAAAGAUUGCUAAUGUGAGCUGAUUAAAGAUGUCCUUUCCAAAAACCUCUA